UCUCUUUUCACUAACAUGACUGGCUUCUGCUUCUCAGACCUGCUGUCAAAUAUCCUGCCUGGAUCCAGGAGGCUAUGGGCACAGAUCUCAUGGUGCAUUUUCCAGUCCUAGGUCUCCUAUCAUCUUCUUUCCCAUUGGACCCUGAGAGGCAAAGAAAAAUAAUAUUACAAGCAAUGAUGUUUUUAUUAAACCACACACAGAGACAGAAUUUAUUUUAACAUUUCUUUUUUUAAAAAAGUUUACAUGACAGACAGCAAGCUGGCCCUCGUGAUUUUUUUCAGAAGAUAAAGCUUGUUUUUAUAUAUGAAUUUCAUCUGAACUGUAUUUUUUUUAAUUUGGAGGCUUUUUAAAAAACAAAUCAAGAGAUAAACGAAUGAGGACCAAACUUUGAUUUCCAUUUUUCCCCUCAGAUUCUCUUGUGACCAUUUUUUUUGUAAAUUAAAGGCAAUACAGCCACAGCAUUUUCUAUGGCACAAACAUCACAAGGAUGAUAGAUAUAAAUAUAUAUAUUGUUUUCAACUAGCAUUGUAAAUAAAAGCAUUUAAAAAUAUUUC